GCGAACGCUGGCGGCAGGCCUAACACAUGCAAGUCGAGCGCCCCGCAAGGGGAGCGGCAGACGGGUGAGUAACACGUGGGAACGUACCCUUCGGUUCGGAAUAGCCCGGGGAAACUCGGAGUAAUACCGGAUACGUCCGUAAGGAGAAAGAUUUAUCGCCGAAGGAUCGGCCCGCGUCUGAUUAGCUUGUUGGUGAGGUAACGGCUCACCAAGGCUACGAUCAGUAGCUGGUCUGAGAGGAUGAUCAGCCACACUGGGACUGAGACACGGCCCAGACUCCUACGGGAGGCAGCAGUGGGGAAUAUUGGACAAUGGGCGCAAGCCUGAUCCAGCCAUGCCGCGUGAGUGAUGAAGGCCCUAGGGUUGUAAAGCUCUUUCGGCGGGGAAGAUAAUGACGGUACCCGCAGAAGAAGCCCCGGCCAACUUCGU
rnacentral:rRNA from 1 species